rnacentral:rRNA from 1 species
CCUCGGGAGGCAGCAGUGGGGAAUAUUGGGCAAUGGGCGCAAGCCUGACCCAGCAACGCCGCGUGAAGGAAGAAGGCUUUCGGGUUGUAUACUUCUUUUCUCAGGGACGAAGAAAGUGACGGUACCUGAGGAAUAAGCCACGGCUAACUACGUGCCAGCAGCCGGGGUAAUACGUGGGGGGCAAGCGUUAUACGGAUUUAUUGGGUGGAAAGGGAGUGUAGGCGGGAGGGAAAGUCAGAGGUGAAGACUCAGGGCUAAACCCUGAGCCUGCAUUUGAAACUGUGUAUCUUGGGUGCUGGAGAGGCAAUCGGAAUGCCGGGUGCAGCGGUGAAAUGCGUAGAUAUACGGAGGAACACCAGUGGCGAAGGCGGAUUGCUGGACAGUAACUGACGCUGAGGCGCGAGAGCGUGGGGAGCAAACAGGAUUAGAUACCCCUGUAGU